rnacentral:rRNA from 1 species
CCUACGGGAGGCAGCAGUGGGGAAUAUUGCACAAUGGGCGCAAGCCUGAUGCAGCAACGCCGCGUGAGGGACGACGGCCUUCGGGUUGUAAACCUCUUUUAGUAGGGAAGAAGCGAAAGUGACGGUACCUGCAGAAAAAGCACCGGCUAACUACGUGCCAGCAGCCGCGGUAAUACGUAGGGUGCAAGCGUUGUCCGGAAUUAUUGGGCGUAAAGAGCUCGUAGGCGGUUUGUCGCGUCUGCUGUGAAAACCCGAGGCUCAACCUCGGGCCUGCAGUGGGUACGGGCAGACUAGAGUGCGGUAGGGGAGAUUGGAAUUCCUGGUGUAGCGGUGGAAUGCGCAGAUAUCAGGAGGAACACCGAUGGCGAAGGCAGAUCUCUGGGCCGUAACUGACGCUGAGGAGCGAAAGCAUGGGGAGCGAACAGGAUUAGAUACCCUGGUAGUCCAUGCCGUAAACGUUGGGAACUAGAUGUAGGGACCAUUCCACGGUUUCUGUGUCGCAGCUAACGCAUUAAGUUCCCCGCCUGGGGAGUACGGCCGCAAGGCUAAAACUCAAAUGAAUUGACGG